ACAAAACCAAGAAGCUGGGUCACAGAGAUAACCAGAUGGCUUGGGCACCUCUUCUGUGAACUGAGGGAGUUGGGGUUAUUUAGGCUUGAGAAGUGAAGGCUCUGCAGCAACCUCAUUGCGGAUAUUCCAAUAUCUAAAAGGAGCCUACAGGAAAGAUGAAGAAGGACUCCAUUUGAAAGUGUCGUGACAGGACAAGAGCCCAAACUAUUCAGUGAUUCUAUGACAACUUCAUUGGAAACUUCUGCUUGUGGAGGACAAUAGAGCAACACCUAAAUGGUGUGGAUAAAAUGAGGCAGUGAUGAGCCGAAAAACAUCAGCAUAGUGAUCAUGUCCAGUGGGUAGAGCUGCACUCGGAGCUGGAGAAGCUUCCUUCCAGCAGUCAGGAUGCUCAAACAUGCAAGAGGUCUGUAGCCUUGUCUGAAGGAAUGAAACCUGUGAGAAUCACAUCCCCUGGAGAGGGUCAGAGAAACAUAUGCAGAGAACACAAGUUGCUUCACAGAACAGUAUGGAGAGUAAGCAAGAAGUAAAUGCAGCAGAUAUGAAAACCACUACCCAGAAUAUGAGCAGAAGAUGAAAAUUACAGCAGGCAGUCCAAGGUGGAAUUAAGAAGGCUGCAUUUCUCAAAUCCAGCUAGUAAAACCAGAGACAAGAAUAGAGGGAAGCCUUUCAGACAGAUAAACCGUUUUCAAGGAAAAAAGAAAGUACAAUCUUGGAAAGCAUUCAGAGCUCCAGGCUUUGUGGAGUGCUGUGUUAUUGUGCCAGCUCUUCAGGAGAAGUCUGGCCUGGGAUGUUCCCACCCACUGCCCAAUGAGUCACUGGGGUGAUCUGCUGGGAUGACUGAGCCAUGCAUCAUCAGCCAGAUACUCCACUUCUUACAAUCUGCAUCCAUGGGCUCAGCAUGGAGAAAGAGAUGUCGCUCAAUGACAAACUGGAUAAUCACAGAAUCAUAGAAUGUCUUGGAGUGGAAGGGCACGAUUGCCACCUAAUAGAUAAGGUGCUUGUCCUUCUCCUAUAGCUUGUCUUAAUAGCAUACCAUUACUGUUAUUUAAAGUACCAGCUAGGUACUAAAGGAAGACUGGACAAACCAUUCACUGACUUGGAGGGAACAUCUGAUGCAUCGUUUAUGAACUUCACUGCUUAGUGUGCUUUGACGCAGAUGGGAUUCACUCAUACUGAUGCACAUCUUUGGUUCACCAUGUUAUGUUUAUUGCUCUGUUCAUACUGACUCAGCGCUGCAUCAAUCUCUCAAUACCAGAAGACUGCUAGAUGUCCUUGUUUUUCUAUCGUUUAUUGUUAUCAUCACACAAUGUUCUUGGCCUUUUGCCAAUCACACCUGGUUCUGAGUGGACCAUUACAUGGAUCUUGUAUAUCUUUCCGGCCUGGGGGAAGGGGAGAAUCACAUUCUAUCUGAAUAGCCUCACUGCAACACCUAUGUCUACAUAAGUACAUGGCAGAAAGAAGAGAACAGAUGGAGGCCUCUUCAGGGGAACCUUCUGUGCUAUGAGAGAAGAAAGGGCUCGUACAUGAGAACCAUAAUGGACAGAAUUACAUAUCUGCCCAUAAUUAGAGUUCCUGACCCUAACAUUACGAGUGGGUCUUACUUUCUUCUCUGGGGUCAUUCCUUAUGAGAAUGAAGUGACCCUACACUCACAACCACAGCUUUGACCCAAACUAAAAAUAUGCAUCCCACAGGAUUCAUGUUCUACACCCUGAAGCUGGCCUCGAGGAAGAGGUAAUCCUCAAAGCCCAAGCAGAUGUCCAACAUAACUAUAACAGCAUUAGGAUGGCUUACUUACAAAAAGGAAUUCUCAAAAAACUUUUGUUCUAAGGAUCUCGUGGGAUGCUACUGAAUUCUUCACAAGCAAGAUCAUCCUUUACUACCAACCCACACCCAUUUUGUGGACACGCCAAAUGAUUUCUGGGAAGAACAGCCUAUGCUUCGUAGUGUUUCUUUUUCAGAAGCACCAAAUCCUCCUCUUUUGAUUACUCCUCUCAAGCACCCCCCAGUCCAUCUACUCACUUAAUAUUCCCACAGUCCCUUAUUGCAUGACUUUUGCCCUUACCAGCUGCUCAUAAUAUUGCCUCUGGAAAUAAAAUGUGAACUCCAAAGUGUUUCUUUCCUGUACUAUAACAGAGCGUUCUCUUUCCCUUUAAGAUGGCUACUGUUCCGUUCUCUCCUCCAGCUGAUGGCAUCUCAGAGGUUAUAAGCAGGAAACUCAGAGCAAAGGCUAUUUCAGUGCAGUGGGUGACACAAAGAGUGAUCUUGGCACAGAGAGUGCAUGUCUUUACAUCCCAGCAACACCCUGAAUCUCUAUAGAACUGCAGCCCAAAUACCUUGAGCCUCAGUAGAGCCUUUCCAUAAAUCAAGACAUUUCAAAAUGCAGACAUGUGAGUAACAAGAAAAAUGAAAUUGUAGAAACAGAAUGAUUUUGGCACGAACCACAGAAGGCAAGAAAGUCAUUCCAGGGCUGGUGAAAAGUGAUAUCAAUACUGGCCAUUUAUGGUGGAAUAUUUUUAGAGAGCAUAGAAUAACAUCACACAGCUGACACACUCAACACCUUUGCUGGACGUUGGUAAAACCAGAAAUAACAUAUUUCAAAGAAAAGGCAGACGUUUGUAUUCAAAUGGCAGUAGCUUAAUGGUCACCCAUAUGGAUGUCUUUAGGAUUCACAAAACUCAUAGUUGGAACUGAGAAAUCAUGUUUAACAUGCAGUAUCAUGAGCUGGAAACCUCCAGUUUCUCUUCCUUGGGUUUGCUUACUGGUAUCAUACUCAUUUGAUGUGGGCUUACCAUUACAGAUGUUUCUUCAGCUUCCAGGACGGCUGCCUUUGCAAAACAUUAAUUACCCCAAGGGAAGCCUUCUGCCAAAUCUAAGUCUGUCCUUCCUUGUUCUUAUUCCUCUUUCCAUAUGUUUCUUUCUAGGGCUGUUGUUAAUUUUUUCUUUUCUUAACAAUAACAUCACCUCUCCGUUUUGGUUUGGGAAGCACAUUGGGCAAAGCGGAGACCUCACACCAGCUUUCUGCAAGUCUCUGCACUGUAAUCCCUGGCCAAUGUUGUAAUAAGAUACAGAGUGGUUGCAACCUGUUCAAGAAACGACCACCAACAUCAGUGCCAUUAAUGUGGCAUCAUUUGGG
ensembl:lncRNA